ACGAACGCUGGCGGCGUGCUUCACACAUGCAAGUCGAACGGAAAGGCCCUGCUUUUGUGGGGUGCUCGAGUGGCGAACGGGGGAGUAACACGUGAGUAACCUGCCCUUGACUUUGGGAUAACUUCAGGAAACUGGGGCUAAUACCGGAUAGGAGCUCCUGCUGCAUGGUGGGGGGUGGAAAGUUUCGGCGGUUGGGGAUGGACUCGCGGCUUAUCAGCUUGUUGGUGGGGUAGUGGCUUACCAAGGCUUUGACGGGUAGCCGGCCUGAGAGGGUGACCGGCCACAUUGGGACUGAGAUACGGCCCAGACUCCUACGGGAGGCAGCAGUGGGGAAUAUUGCACAAUGGGCGGAAGCCUGAUGCAGCAACGCCGCGUGCGGGAUGACGGCCUUCGGGUUGUAAACCGCUUUCGCCUGUGACGAAGCGUGAGUGACGGUAAUGGGUAAAGAAGCACCGGCUAACUACGUG
rnacentral:rRNA from 1 species